AGUGCAUGGAGAGAGGGCAGAGAGAGAAAGAGAGCGUAAUGAGAGAGCAGAGGGAGAGAGAAAGUAUAGUGAGAGAGCUGAGAGAGAAAGAGAGCGUAGAGAAAGAGCGGAGAGAGAGCGCUCUCGGGGGGCAGAGUUAAACAAUGCAAAAGGGAAAUGGAGUGAAGCUGCAUCGAGACUUAAGUGCAUCUACUCUGCAUCACACUGCCUUAAACGGCGUGUCUUUCGCUAAACACUCCAUCUGGCGAAGCCAGGUUUUGACGCAUGCCACAGCCUCAAGGUUAGAUGAUGUAUUCAACGCCCCCCCCCCAGCAUUCCUUGAAGGCCUUCCCUCGUGGAGACACUCUGAAGCGUGAGAGGUUCAGGUGACGUUCCGGUUAGCCCGCCCCCUCCAUCACCCCCUCUUCUAGAUUCCACUCCAUCCCCUUCCUC
ensembl:lncRNA